rnacentral:lncRNA from 1 species
CUUUCCCCUUAUGUCCUGCUCCUCCUCCCCAUUUCUCAAGCCCUGACCCCUAUCCUCCUAUCUCAAAGUAGGUUAUAGAAACUAGAAUCCGAAGGGCUCUCACUCUCCAGCUCCAGAACUAGCAGGUCCCAGUUCAGUGCUGCAGUGGUUACUUGGACUGUUUCCGCACUGCCCGUGGCUGUCCAUUAAAUGAGCCGGUGAGACUCCGGCGGCAUGUGGCAAAAACCACUGCCGCGGCCGCUGCAGAUUCGCUGCGCUCUGGGUUGCCAGAAGGACCUAAGGCAGAGCUCACCAGCACCCGCAGAUCUGAGACCUUGAAGGUGUGUCUGGGUCCUUCCCUAAGAUCUCUUUGCUAAGAAAAAAAAAGGUCCUCCUAACGACCCUAAAGGUCAAUGGGAGAAAAACAGAGCCGAGGUGUGUAACAAAGGACUGGGAGAGGGUCGGGGGAAGGGAGUUAACAACUGCAAAAAGAUGCUUUUUCAAACUUUCUCCUAAAGUGGAAAGGGAGGAGGAGGUGGUGCAGUCCGGCUCAGGUGAGACUGAAUGGGUGGGUGGUGGACUUAGGGCCAGGGCGCAGGGUCUAGCUAGGAGUUGGGGGCGGGCACGUGUCUUUCUAUUAGGGUGACCCCAUUAGUGCACCCUAGCAGAGUCAGCGGCCGAGAGAAGGCGAAGAGGAGGAGGAGACGCCCGGUGCCCCUCCUUUUUUCCGACACGUCAUGGGGUCCGCUGAGCUCCCCCGCCGCCUCCCGCCCACCCCAGGCGAAGACACAGAAGCAGCUCCCUCGCAGUCCGCACCGAGGACGGAGGGAGGGCGGGAGAGAGCCGGCGCCGUGGCGGCCGCUGUCGCAGCGGAGAAGCCUGCCGGAGAAGCGGAGCCCCGCCUGCCGCCUACCUCUGCAGCCUCAGGAACCCGGGGCUCGGGGUUGCCACUACCUGCUUUCCCACACCUCCCACCUGAGGCUCCUGAAACCCGCCACUCACCGGAGCAUGAAUGACCACUUUUCUCUGCUUGCUUUUCUCUCGCGGUCUGAACAAGUGCAUUUGCUAUUCAGUGUUUCAAAGCUUGCCCCCUGAUUCACCGGCAGGGGCUGGAGGCGGGGAGGAGGGGGAGUGGAAGUGCGGAUUCGUUCUUUAUCUACUCAUCUUCAGAGCCUGGAGAACACCUGAUGAAUGCCCCCCUGACUGAAUCAGUUCUUUCCAAGAAACGCACCCCUGCAGGAACCUCA